rnacentral:lncRNA from 1 species
CUUCGGCAAACGAGACGUCGCUAACGCCCGAAGGACCAUUUUUUCGUCAAGAACCUUCCGAAAGUGAACACCCGCUUUAAAAACAGUCCAUCCACGACUAUAAAACACACACUUCCUAACACGAAUCCUUCGCGAAGAAUAUAAAACGGUAAUAUCUACCGAUAAGUUUGUUGCUGAUCACAACAAACUCUCAACGUCCUAAACAGACUAAGCCAUCUCUUAGAGAUAGCUCUCGAACACCCGACACAAGGGUAAUAGUGCUAUAUAAAAAAUCCAAAAUUUUGGUCCGCACUUUUGGGAGACUUAAAAACUGUCCUCGAAGAGAUGUUCGAUUCCUACCAUACAAGUCAUGUCAGCCGAUAACAUAUCGUAGACUUUAAUGUGGGACGGAAUCAGGUCGAAAACAAUGCGGGAAAUGUAAGUCGAAGUAGUCAUCGCACCCCCUAAAGCCGUGAUUAGUCCUUGGUCUUAACCUAAACCCAACACACUAGUCUCUAACAUCUCUAGACAUAGUAUCAAACACCCUGAUACCAGAUCAUAAAAUUUGUCUC